GUUUAAUACAAUUAAAAAAUAAUAAAAAGUUCAAUGGCAACUCAUCGGCUGAAAUAAGUUUUGCAGCAUAAAGCACUGCUUUUCCUAAAAAAAAAAUGCUUUAAUGGGAAGAUGGGAGUGCCAAAAGAUAUUUAUUGAAGGCUAUUACAAA